GACGAACGCUGGCGGCGUGCUUAACACAUGCAAGUCGAACGGAAAGGCCCCUUUGGGGGUACUCGAGUGGCGAACGGGUGAGUAACACGUGAGUAACCUGCCCUUGACUUCGGGAUAACUUCAGGAAACUGGGGCUAAUACCGGAUAGGAAUCCUUGCUGCAUGGUGGGGGUUGGAAAGCUUCGGCGGUUUUGGAUGGACUCGCGGCUUAUCAGCUUGUUGGUGGGGUUGUGGCUUACCAAGGCUUUGACGGGUAGCCGGCCUGAGAGGGCGACCGGCCACAUUGGGACUGAGAUACGGCCCAGACUCCUACGGGAGGCAGCAGUGGGGAAUAUUGCACAAUGGGCGGAAGCCUGAUGCAGCAACGCCGCGUGCGGGAUGACGGCCUUCGGGUUGUAAACCGCUUUCAGCAGGGGCGAAGCUUGUGGUGACGGUACCUGCAGAAGAAGCACCGGCUAACUACGUG
rnacentral:rRNA from 1 species